rfam:Ailuropoda melanoleuca scaffold793_34, whole genome shotgun sequence.
GUCUACGACCAUGCCACCCGGAACACGCUGAUCUCGUCUGAUCUCAGAAGCUAAGUGGGGUCAGGCCUGGUUAGUACUUGGAUGGGAGGCGUCCGCUUCAAGAGCUAUGCAUCUCAUUAC